GCUGGGAUAGCUCACUCGGUUAAAGCAUUGCACUGCAAAGCAGAAGUGUCUAUCACAACGUGGGUUUGAGCCCCAAUCGUACCA